rnacentral:rRNA from 1 species
AUACGUAGGGUGCGAGCGUUGUCCGGAAUUACUGGGCGUAAAGAGCUCGUAGGUGGUUUGUCGCGUCGUCUGUGAAAUUCCGGGGCUUAACUCCGGGCGUGCAGGCGAUACGGGCAUAACUUGAGUACUGUAGGGGAGACUGGAAUUCCUGGUGUAGCGGUGAAAUGCGCAGAUAUCAGGAGGAACACCGGUGGCGAAGGCGGGUCUCUGGGCAGUAACUGACGCUGAGGAGCGAAAGCAUGGGUAGCGAACAGGAUUAGAUACCCUGGUAGUCCAUGCCGUAAACGGUGGGCGCUAGGUGUAGGGGUCUUCCACGACUUCUGUGCCGUAGCUAACGCAUUAAGCGCCCCGCCUUGGGAGUACGGCCGCAAGGCUAAAACUUAAAGGAAUUGACGGGG